AGUGAGGCUUUGGGACUGGCCCAGAGAGGUCGGCAACGACCACUCAGGGCCGGAAACUUAUUCAAACUCGGUCAUUUAGAGGAAGUAAAAGUCGUAACAAGGUCUCCGUUGGUGAACCAGCGGAGGGAUCAUUA
rnacentral:rRNA from 1 species